CGCUCGUGGAAAUCACGGCUCUAUAAUUGUUCGGUAAGUAUACAAUAAAACUUCAUUUUAAUAAUGAAAAUUUCAUAUUUUUAAUUUUAUCUCUAUUAUACUUCAUCUAGUCUCUUGCCAAUCAUCGUGUUCAUAUUUAAAGCAAAAUUGACCAAACUUGUAUUUUCAUAAUUUUUUCAGUACAGUACCAAUACAUUUUGUUAUAUUAAUAAAUUUUCAGUACGUAUCAUCAUUAAAUAUUGCUGUGGCUUUCCCAUUUGUACAUUUUGAUUCCAUAUCAUUGAGCAUAUUGAAAGGUUUCUAGCUACAGUACUAAGAUGAGAAAAUCCUGUCCAUAUGUAUAAUUUUUGUCAUGUAUGAUGCAUUUCAUUUACUUAGCCCUAAGUCGUCAUACAUUAUGCCCUAGCAACAUUGAGGAUUGUCCUUAGAAAGAAAUUAAUUGAAGGAAACAAGAGAAAAGGUAGAGGCACUAAUCAUAAAAGUAUUGUUGGACCUUGAAAAAGAAACUGAAAUGAUUUAAAAUGAUAGGCUGAAGGAGCUUUUGGGAAGUAUCAUCAAGAACAGCAAUCAACAGGGUUUUAUGUUAUAAAAGGUCUUGCUGGGAGAGUAAUUUUCAAAAUUAUUGGGAUAUUUAUCUUCAAGGGGAUUUCAUGUUUUUACCAGGCACUGUGGCAAUGUAAAACAAGAAAUUUCUGCCAUAUCUUGAAUGUGAAGAUGGUUUUAGAAUCUGGUUAUUUCCAUACAUGAGUACUGAUGAACAAAGUAUUCCUUAGUGUCUUACUAUACAUGGAGCAGUCACCUUCUAAUCCUACUGUUUAGCCCUGCUGUUGCAUCAGAAGUCGGAGUGGAUGCCAACUAAUACUGUUCCUCACUUAACUAAUGGAAAAUUAAUUAUUCCAUUAAGGUUCAAGUUAAGUAUGGGACAGUCUCGUGCCAAAACUACAUAGGGAGAAGCAUGAAGUAGGAGACGAAUAGAAAAUGAAGCCAAAUUUGAAAUGGGAGACGUCAUCCACGAAGUUGAUACUAUAUAUCAGGACUGGAAGGAGCAGCUCUUGAGCAACUCACAGUAGUGGUUCCCUUCAGUCUGUCCUCUUUGAGAGGAGUAAAAACAGGAA